AACCCAACCCAUUCCUCCUUUCCUUUUAUUUCAGCCGUGAACAACACAACUGAUUUUCUCUUCCUCUCUCGAACAAGAUGACCGGAGCUUGGGAUUCCGGCCGGUGCCGACUCCGACAAACCCGCACACCUACCUCCUACACCUCUCUUCCUCUGAUAACACCUAUACCCCCCCCCCCUCUUCGAUGUAUGAAACGGACCACCACCAUCGUCGGGUGGUGGUGGUGAGCGACAGCUGGCCCAUAGAUAACGACGACAGAGAGAGAGAGAGAGAUCGGCGAAGGUUAAUCGGGGCCGGCCACCUCUCACGGUGGCGCGACAGCGAGUCGAUGGCGGAGCCGUCGCACCGUCGUCCAGAAACGCCGCAAAUCAGCGGCAAUGUGGUGGAGGCGGUGGUGUUUUGAUGGCGGCUGUUGUGGUGUUACGAGCUCCGUCAGUCUUGGCUCCAGCUUUCUUCUCCGGUUGUUGACAAUGGUGAUGACUUGCUAAAGGUUGAAGAUGACGUUGAUGACGGGGGUGGCAGUCGACGGCGGAGGAGGUGUUGUCGGCUUGGGUUUCGGUUCGGGUUUCAGAUAUGGUUCUGGCCGACUGACGACGCGGGGGCAGUGGCGGUGUUAUUCUGGGCUCCGGAUCUUUGUUGGUUUGGUCAACCACGAGUCCGACAUGUUUCAGCUUCUUCAGGUUCAGUUUGGAGUUCUGUGUUUCCAUUCAAGGUUGCGGAUUCAGAUUAUGUUACAAGAAGAUUCGGUUCAAAUUAUGGUUUCGGUUCGAGCUUGCAGUAAAUUGGGUCAGAAAUUGGUUCAAGUGGAUUUGUUUCGGGUUUCAGGUUCGAGUCAAGGAGGUCAACGGGUCAACUUAGUUUCUGUUCGGGUCAACCCGGUCAAACCGAGUCCACACGGGUCAACACUUGGUCAACAGCAGUCAACACUCGGUCAACUCACGAGACCCGGAAUGUCGUAGUUGCACGCUAGCUAAAUACACGUUCUUGGAACAACACUACGGAAAGGCUAGCUUUGCCCAGGAAUGUCAAGGUUGCAUUUUUCAAAACUACGGAACGGUUGGAAUAGGAGAACCCCACAGGAUUCGAGUACUUAGCGGCGUUCACUUGCUAGAAGUCUUAGCUUAUUUGCUUCCGCUGUGCAAUGAAGAUACCGGUCCAGUCACGCCAGCUCUGAUAUUUCGGGGUGUGACACUGGUGGGGGGGAUAUUCUGAGGUGGGAUUAUUAAUGGCCAAUAAGGUCUAGGUGGGAUUAUUACAGGCCAAUUCCCCUUUACAAUUCUAACAAACACAUAAAGAACCAUAUCUAGGUUUUCAAUAUUUAAGAUUUAAAAUAAUAAUAUGCAAUGACAUUUUUGUAAUUAUGUGAAACAUCAAAUACAAACUUUUUGGUUGCAGUAUCGUAUAAAUUUAAUAGUAUAUUGUAUGCAUUGUUAUUUCACAAAGGGGCUGAAAUUUUAUAUAGUGGAAAUAUC